rnacentral:misc_RNA from 1 species
UGGUUAUUCAUAACCCUUUGUUGUCCGACUCUGUUGCCUCCGGGGCGACCCUGCCUUCGGGCGGGGGCUCCGGGUGGACACUUCAAACUCUUGCGUAACUUUGCAGUCUGAGUAAACUUAAUUAAUAAAUUAAAACUUUUAACAACGGAUCUCUUGGUUCUGGCAUCGAUGAAGAACGC